rnacentral:tRNA from 1 species
CUCCCCUUGGUGUAAUUGCAUAGCACGAGAGGUUGUAACCCUCUAAGUCCGGGUUCGAAUCCAGGGGGGAGA